rnacentral:tRNA from 1 species
GCCCGGUUAGCUCAGUCGGUAGAGCGCAAGGCUCUUAACCUUGUGGUCGUGGGUUCGAGCCCCACACCUGGCA